CUCUGAGUCUGCCUAACCCCUUUCAAGCUCUGUUGCCGGUCUGGACUCCCACCGAUCAGCCCGUGGUCCUCUGCAUCGGACUGGACUCAUCCUGGACCUCUGAAUCUGGACUGCCUGCCUGUUGCCCGACCCCGAUCUGUUUGUGAGUAACCGCAUCUGUCUAACCCCUGUGUGCCUCUGAACUCAGCCGGACUAAGGACCUGGACUGGACCCCGACCCGCUCUGGACUAUCCCUCGGACCUUCUCAGGAUUUCGGAUUCCACCGGAACUGGACUGCCUGCCUGUUGCCCGACUCCGAUCUGUUUGUGAGUAACCGCAUCUGACUAACCCCUGUGAACCUCUGAACUCAGCCGGAUUAAGGACCUGGACUGGACCCCGACCCGCUCUGGAUCCGUCUCUGGACCCUCUCUGGACUUCUAACCCCUCGGCUCCUUCCCCGGACCCCCGUUUCUCUGCCCCGUUUCCUCGUUACUAGCCGGCGCUCGGAUUACCCGACUCUCCAGGGUUCCUGCAGACGUGAGCCGCUCGGGUUGCCGUGCGACCGCCAUUAAAUAAACACUUGAAAGCGUCA